GGUAAUGAUGGCAGAGAGGUCACACCCGUUCCCAUACCGAACACGGAAGUUAAGCUCUCUAGCGCCGAUGGUAGUUGGGACCUUGUCCCUGUGAGAGUAGGAC
rnacentral:rRNA from 1 species